AGGAGAAGGCGAUCCUUGAGGAGACAGCAAAAGACCGCCCCAAAAUUCAGGAGGAAGUUCGUCUUGCAAUUGCCACGCUGAUGGAGGGCGAAAAUGGUUCUUUUCCAACUUAAAAACCCUCCCCUCCCUAAUGAUUGCCCCUCUUUACUAACGCGGCUUCCUCCGGCGCGUAUGCAGCUGGAUUUGUUGUUCCUCGGGCGCGGCUUCCUCCUCAGGCAAACGGCUCCGGCGCGCAGCUUCCUCCUCAGGCAAACGGCUCCGGCGAGGUAACAACCCCUUUUUCUUCCCUCGAGUUUUGAUCUGUUUUUUUGCUUGGCCUUUAGAUCUUACCUUUGGUUCUAUCUGCCUUCUUUUUUCCUUUUUUUUUAUUAGAUUCAGGAGGCGAACAAGAAGACUAGCUGAUGGACCGGUUCACUAGUAGUGAAUGUCAGCGUUACUAUUAGAGAUUGAGAUGAGACUAUGGAGGCUAAUAACUGAAGAACUGCCUAAUUCAUGUCAGCAUCAGGGCAGUGUACUCCGUGUGGUAAUCAGACUCUUAACACUCGUCGGUCUGCUUGUAGUACUAAUUAAGUUAUUGUAUCAGACAUUAGUGGUAUGUGUGUGGUAAUUAUCAGUCUCUAAGUUCAUCAACAAAGGGAUAUCCUCAGACAAAACACGGCAAAUUGACAUUCAGACAUUUUUAUAGACAAGUUCAGUUUAUUUCUGGAACAACACAAGUUACAAGCAUCCAGGUACAAAUUAGACUAAAAUUCAGUUUGCUCAACAUAACCAGUAAUUAGAUCAAUCCUUCAGCCUGAGCUCCUUUUCACUCCGACGCCCACCUUAUCACCUUCUACCUGUUUCUGGUUCACAACAAGAUUGCUUGUUCAUAUCUUCCUGAUGUAUAAAUGUCAAUCUGUCCAUUUCUUCAGGCUUACUUGCUUCUUCAACUCAGCUGACUAAAAUCUAACAAAAAAGAGAACAUGAAUGAGUACUCUUGAAUCAGAACUCGCGACUUGCCAAAUUUUAGAAGUACAACACAGAGAAAAAUGAGCAGCUUCCAAACAGUUAGCAUUAAACAAUAAUACUCCAGUAAUAGAUAGACAAUGAGGGAAACAGUUUGUCAUACAUCUGAAAUUUGACGUAUCUCUGCAGACAGAUAGGCAUAUGAGAUUUGGAUAAUUUUUUAUUCAAGUGCAGAAAUAUAUACCUUGAUCUUCUCCCUCCGGCUCUAAUGACACACCUUUGCAUCUUUCUAGGUCUGCAAAACACAAAAAUAGAGAAAUUACGAGAUUACUUGUGGUUAUUAACUUUGUGAAGAACAAAAGAAAAACUUACUAACCGGCUGUUCUGAGCCAGUUUUGUAGGCAAUCAAAGUCUCGACGGUUUGUAGGCUUAUCAACUAGUGGACUAGUAGAUCGCAGCACUGAAAAGAAAAACAUUCAGUCAAGUUGCACAAGUUUCACAAAACAUUCAGUAAAGGAUGGAUUUACUUAAGGCAUCCAACAAAUUGGUGCAUUCAGCUAAGGGCUUAAGGCAUAACAAAAUAUGGUACCCUGAAAAACUGAUCUGCAUCAUAAAUAUCACUCAACAGUCAGCACACUUCUAUCUAUACUAAAUAAAAAUAUGCCAUCUCGCCUACAGUUCAGCUGUUCACACACAACAGGAAAAGGAACCACGCUCAAAGUCCAAGCAGUGGCAUCCUAAUUCAACGCCUACAAUUCAGAUCGCUGAAUUAACUCACCCAACAAUUUUGCCGAGAGCCAAAAUAAGGGAUUACCUUGGGAUUUUUGGAGAUUGCUACAGCUUCUUCUUUGACUGUUCUCCACUUGGAUCUUGAUUUUGGUUCUUGGUCGAUGGGCCUCUUGCGGACAUUGAGGAAGAAGGCAGCGGCGUCCAUGGUGGAGAUGAAGGGGGGAACUAGGGUUACCAUGGGGGAAGUGGACGGUGGCGCUAGGCCGGCCAUGGCGGAGGUGGACGACGGCGGCGUGGCCAUGGCGGAGGUGGACGACGGCGGCGUGGCCAUGGCGGAGGUGGAAGGCGGCGGCGGUGCCUUAUCCCCUCACGGGCUUGGCUACUUCAGCUGGUAAACUAGGUGGGCGAUGUGGG
rnacentral:lncRNA from 1 species